rnacentral:tRNA from 1 species
UGUCUAGAAGUUAGUGUUAGAGCACCGCCCUGUCACGGCGGAAGUUGCGGGUUCGAGCCCCGUCAAUCCCG